AGCGGACGACCGUGAACUAGUAAA
rnacentral:rRNA from 1 species